rnacentral:rRNA from 1 species
AAUGAACGUUGGCGGCGUGGAUUAGGCAUGCAAGUCGAGCGAGAACCCCGCAAGGGGGGACAGCGGCAAACGGGGUAGUAACGGGUAGGUGACGUACCCUCGGGUCGGGGAUAGCCACGGGAAACUGUGGGUAAUACCCGAUAAUCUCCCGGGUCAUCAUGAUCUGGGAGCAAAGGUGUGAUUCCACCGGAGGAGCGGCCUGCUUCGUAUUAGCUAGUUGGUGAGGUAAUGGCUCACCAAGGCGACGAUGCGUAGGGGGUGUGAGAGCAUGACCCCCACACUGGGACUGAGAUACUGCCCAGACACCUACGGGUGCAG